rnacentral:rRNA from 1 species
GAGGAAUAAGCAUCGGCUAACUCCGUGCCAGCAGCCGCGGUAAUACGGGGGAUGCAAGCGUUAUCCGGAAUCAUUGGGCGUAAAGCGCCUGUAGGUUGUUUAAUAAGUCUGUUGUUAAAGACUAGGGCUUAACCCUAGGAAAGCAAUGGAAACUACUAGACUAGAGUAUGGUAGGGGUAGAGGGAAUUUCUAGUGUAGCGGUGAAAUGCGUAGAUAUUAGGAAGAACACCGGUGGCGAAGGCGCUCUACUGGAUCAUUACUGACACUCAGAGGCGAAAGCUAGGGUAGCAAAAGGGAUUAGAUACCCCUGUAGUCCUAGCCGUAAACGAUGGAUACUAGAUGUUGCGUUUAUUAUGCAGUAUCGUAGCUAACGCGUUAAGUAUCCCGCCUGGGGAGUACGCUCGCAAGGGUGAAACUCAAAGGAAUUGACGGGGGCCCGCACAAGCGGUGGAGCAUGUGGUUUAAUUCGAUGCAACGCGAAGAACCUUACCAAGGCUUGACAUACUACAAAUUUCUUUGAGAAAAGAAAGUGCCUUCGGGAAUGUAGAUACAGGUGGUGCAUGGCUGUCGUCAGCUCGUGUCGUGAGAUGUUGGGUUAAGUCCCGCAACGAGCGCAACCCUUAUUUUUAGUUGCCAAUUUAUUGGGUUUUCUAGAAAGACUGCCGGUGACAAACCGGAGGAAGGUGAGGAUGACGUCAAGUCAGCAUGCCCCUUAUGUCUUGGGCUACACACGUGCUACAAUGGUUAAGACAAAGAGUUGCGAGCUCGCAAGAGUCAGCUAAUCUCAUAAACUUAGCCUAAGUUCGGAUUGUAGGCUGCAACUCGCCUACGUGAAG